rnacentral:rRNA from 1 species
CCUACGGGAGGCAGCAGUGAGGAAUAUUGGUCAAUGGUCGGGAGACUGAACCAGCCAAGCCGCGUGAGGGAGGAAGGUACAGUGGAUUGUAAACCUCUUUUGUCAGGGAACAAAGUCCGGUACGUGUCCCCUUUUGCGUGUACCUGACGAAUAAGCAUCGGCUAACUCCGUGCCAGCAGCCGCGGUACUACGGGGGAUGCGAGCGUUAUCCGGAUUUAUUGGGUUUAAAGGGUGCGCGGUGGGACGGGAAAGUCAGCGGUAAAAGCGCGGGGCUCACCCCCGACGCGCCGUUGAAACUGGCAGGCUAGAGUGGGGGAGAAGUAUGCGGAAUGCGCGGUGUAGCGGUGAAAUGCAUAGAUAUCACGCAGAACUCCGAUUGUGAAGGCAGCAUGCCGGCUCGAAACUGACGCUGAGGCACGAAAGCGUGGGUAUCGAACAGGAUUAGAUACCCCAGUAGUC